GAUCCUGGCUCAGAUUGAACGCUGGCGGCAGGCUUAACACAUGCAAGUCGAACGGUAGCAGGAGAAAGCUUGCUUUCUUGCUGACGAGUGGCGGACGGGUGAGUAAUGCUUUGGAAUCUGGCUUAUGGAGGGGGAUAACGACGGGAAACUGUCGCUAAUACCGCGUAGUAUCGGAAGAUGAAAGUGCGGGACCGCAAGGCCGCAUGCCAUAAGAUGAGCCCAAGUGGGAUUAGGUAG
rnacentral:rRNA from 1 species